rnacentral:lncRNA from 1 species
CAGCAGCUGUCUCUUCUCUUUCUCCCAACACAUACUUCCCAGAUGCCUUCAGAAGUGUUGAUAAGGAAUAGAUAAGCCUCUCCUAAGGCUUAUCAAAACCAUGGAAAGUUGAAAAGAGAAACUUCCUUAAAUGCCAGUUUAUUAAGAAGAACGAAAGUGUAUGAAAUCAGGAUCAAAGAUCUCAGCGCACAUUCCUGGCACUG